rnacentral:rRNA from 1 species
UAAGGAAUAUUGGUCAAUGGGCGGAAGCCUGAACCAGCCAUGCCGCGUGCAGGAAGACGGCCCUACGGGUUGUAAACUGCUUUUAUACGGGAAUAAACCUCGCUACGAGUAGUGAGUUGAAUGUACUGUAAGAAUAAGGAUCGGCUAACUCCGUGCCAGCAGCCGCGGUAAUACGGAGGAUCCAAGCGUUAUCCGGAUUUAUUGGGUUUAAAGGGUGCGUAGGCGGCCAAUUAAGUCAGGGGUGAAAGACGGUAGCUUAACUAUCGCAGUGCCUUUGAUACUGAUUGGCUUGAAUGUACUUGAGGUAGGCGGAAUGUGACAAGUAGCGGUGAAAUGCAUAGAUAUGUCACAGAACACCAAUUGCGAAGGCAGCUUACUAAAGUAUGAUUGACGCUGAGGCACGAAAGCGUGGGGAUCAAACA